GACGAACGCUGGCGGCGUGCCUAAUACAUGCAAGUAGAACGCUGAAGGAGGAGCUUGCUCUUCUGGAUGAGUUGCGAACGGGUGAGUAACGCGUAGGUAACCUGCCUGGUAGCGGGGGAUAACUAUUGGAAACGAUAGCUAAUACCGCAUAAGAGUAGAUGUUGCAUGACAUUUACUUAAAAGGUGCAAUUGCAUCACUACCAGAUGGAUCUGCGUUGUAUUAGCUAGUUGGUGGGGUAACGGCUCACCAAGGCGACGAUACAUAGCCGACCUGAGAGGGUGAUCGGCCACACUGGGACUGAGACACGGCCCAGACUCCUACGGGAGGCAGCAGUAGGGAAUCUUCGGCAAUGGACGGAAGUCUGACCGAGCAACGCCGCGUGAGUGAAGAAGGUUUUCGGAUCGUAAAGCUCUGUUGUAAGGGAAGAACGAGUGUGAGAGUGGAAAGUUCACACUGUGACGGUAUCUUACCAGAAAGGGACGGCUAACUACGUGCCAGCAGCCGCGGUAAUACGUAGGUCCCGAGCGUUGUCCGGAUUUAUUGGGCGUAAAGCGAGCGCAGGCGGUUAGAUAAGUCUGAAGUUAAAGGCUGUGGCUUAACCAUAGUACGCUUUGGAAACUGUUUAACUUGAGUGCAAGAGGGGAGAGUGGAAUUCCAUGUGUAGCGGUGAAAUGCGUAGAUAUAUGGAGGAACACCGGUGGCGAAAGCGGCUCUCUGGCUUGUAACUGACGCUGAGGCUCGAAAGCGUGGGGAGCAAACAGG
rnacentral:rRNA from 1 species